AAUAACGUUUAAAGCUUUAUCCUUUUUAUGUCUCCUAUAUAUUUGCAUCUACGAAAUCUUUGCGAUGAAUCUACGAAAUCUCUGCUAAUUACCAGCUCCAACAAUGGCUAAUUCCUUCAUCAUUCUUGCUGAUUUGAAAGCCGGUCGCUGUUCGACCAGAGCCGAGGAGGUUUUGAGAGUCUAGGAUUGUGUCUCAAGAUGUGAAUGCUCUCGCUCUCCAAUCCUACAGCGGCAAGGACAAAUCUCUAGGCGUUCUUGCUCCAAUUUCGUGAGACUAUAUAACCGAGAUGAUGUUGAUUUGUUUUGAAUCGAUGAUGCUGCGGCCAAAUUAGGAGUUGAACGUUGGCGUAUAUAUGAUGUGGUCGAUAUAUUGGAGAACAUUGGGAUACUCUC